rnacentral:rRNA from 1 species
AUGUUGUUGGGUAGGGGAGCGUUCUGUAAGCCUGUGAAGGUGUGCUGCGAGGCAUGCUGGAGGUAUCAGAAGUGCGAAUGCUGACAUAAGUAACGAUAAUGCGGGUGAAAAACCCGCACGCCGGAAGACCAAGGGUUCCUGUCCAACGUUAAUCGGGGCAGGGUGAGUCGACCCCUAAGGCGAGGCAGAAAUGCGUAGUCGAUGGGAAACAGGUUAAUAUUCCUGUACUGGUGAUAAUUGCGAUGGGGGGACGGAGAAGGCUAGGCUGGCCGGGCGACGGUUGUCCCGGUUUAAGGAUGUAGGUGGGUGAAUUAGGCAAAUCCGGUUCGCUAUACACUGAGGUCUGAUGACGAGUCACUACGGUGGCGAAGUAGCUCAUGCCCCGCUUCCAGGAAAAGCCUCUAAGCUCUAGAUUAUCAUUAAUCGUACCCCAAACCGACACAGGUGGUCAGGUAGAGAAUACUCAGGCGCUUGAGAGAACUCGGGUGAAGGAACUAGGCAAAAUGGUGCCGUAACUUCGGGAGAAGGCACGCUGGCAUUAGGUGAAGUGGUUUACCCAUGGAGCUGAAGCCAGUCGCAGAUACCAGCUGGCUGCAACUGUUUAUUAAAAACACAGCACUGUGCAAACACGAAAGUGGACGUAUACGGUGUGACGCCUGCCCGGUGCUGGAAGGUUAAUUGAUGGGGUUAUCCGUAAGGAGAAGCUCUUGAUCGAAGCCCCAGUAAACGGCGGCCGUAACUAUAACGGUCCUAAGGUAGCGAAAUUCCUUGUCGGGUAAGUUCCGACCUGCACGAAUGGCGUAAUGAUGGCCAGGCUGUCUCCACCCGAGACUCAGUGAAAUUGAACUCGCUGUGAAGAUGCAGUGUACCCGCGGCAAGACGGAAAGACCCCGUGAACCUUUACUAUAGCUUGACACUGAACAUUGAGCCUUGAUGUGUAGGAUAGGUGGGAGGCUUUGAAGUGUGGACGCCAGUCUGCAUGGAGCCAACCUUGAAAUACCACCCUUUAAUGUUUGAUGUUCUAACGU